CGGGACUCACCUUGUAACGAUAAAUGAUGCUAACAGCAGACUCAAAGAUGUUCCUCGUCACCAAAGCAGAACACCGGCUGUAAUUUCACGAGUUUUGCUGUAUCUUGGGUGGUACCUUGAGAAAAACUGGAGCCGGGGCCAGUGUUUACACUGAAGCGGGUGGUGUUCACCCUGAGUGUACUGACAUUCUUCUGUGGCUGGAACAGGAUGAUGUGGAUCUUGGGAGCAAAGAGGCAACCCAGUACCACCGACCCACUGAGACUGACCGAGAUACACAUGGUAGUGGUCUGUACCUGGAGGAGGAAACAAAAGUUCUCAAGGGACUGCAGAGGAAUGAGCUGUGUGAUGAGCCAUCAGAGCGCGGCAGAAGCAGAGGUGAGCUGCACAGGCUGGUCUCAGCUGUGAUCGGCUGCAAAGUGACAUAUGAAUGCUGGAAUGCACAGACAUGAACACAAGUCAAUAAAAAUCCCACGCAGUGUU